rnacentral:rRNA from 1 species
AACGAACGCUGGCGGCAUGCCUAACACAUGCAAGUCGAACGAGACCUUCGGGUCUAGUGGCGCACGGGUGCGUAACGCGUGGGAACCUGCCCUUAGGUUCGGAAUAACUCCCCGAAAGGGGUGCUAAUACCGGAUAAUGUCUUCGGACCAAAGAUUUAUCGCCUUUGGAUGGGCCCGCGUUGGAUUAGCUAGUUGGUAGGGUAAAAGCCUACCAAGGCGACGAUCCAUAGCUGGUCUGAGAGGAUGAUCAGCCACACUGGGACUGAGACACGGCCCAGACCCGUGGGGGGGGGGGCGGGGGGGAAUAUUGGACAGGGGGCAAAAGCCUGAUCCGCCAAGGCCGGGUGAGUGGUAAAGGCCUUGGGGUUGUAAAGCUCUUUUACCGGGGAGAAAAAGAACGUACCCGGAGAAAAAGCCCCGGGCAACCUCGGG